UGAACAGUCUAUAUUACAUCAACAAACAAAUAAUACCUGCCCUGCAAAGAGCGUUUGGUCUUGUUGGAGGCAACUUAAAUCAGUGGUUCUUGGAGAUGCCUCGUCCUGUAAGGGAGGUGUUUUUUAAACAACCCUUAUCAGCUGCAAAUCCUAACCGAACCCGGAUUGAUUAUUACUACCUGUCUAGGCAUUGUAUACUAUGUGGUGAGUUAG
rnacentral:misc_RNA from 1 species